GGAAUGGUGAAGAACGAUUUAACCCACGAACAACGGUUGCCUAGAAAAGAAGAAGAACUGAAGAACGUGGAGACAAAUUAAAAAACAAAUUGAAAAACCAACUCAAAUCCGCUGCAGUUCAUGUCAGUUUUAACACUUCCCACACGACCCAAUAUCCUCAUGCCAUUACACAGCAGUUUCUUUCAGUUUUUUUGCUUCAAUGAAUCUUCUUUCUGCAGAGCAUCAAGAUGUCAGGGAGCACCAAUGAAGAGCAUUUAGAUUUGAUGGGUUUGAUGUGAAUGACCUGUGAAGAUACUUGGCAACAGGUUGGUUGACAGUUAAAUUCUUCAGUUUUCAAGGGGGGUUCAACUUCCCAAAGUGCAGGAGGCUUGCAGAGGAAUUGAAUCAUAUGUUUGGGUUUGGGGUACAAAAUCGUGAUGUCUAAUUAAUUCACCAAUCCUCUUUGGGGAUCCAUUUGCUACAGGAAUUAAAAUAGAGUCGGAGGGAGGAAAAGGGAGGAAAGGUUUUUCUGUUUUAUUUUUUCAUUAUACUUCAAGUUUUCUUUUGCUACUGGCUUCAUGAAUCAUCAAACCCACGAUAAUUGUUGUGCAGGAGUUAUUGUUCUCUCAUCGUUGUUGUAGAUAGAUCGGCUGCACGUGUGGGUCUUCAACUUCUUGAGGUUUAUCAGCCUUGAAAUUUAGUAAUAUUCAUAAAAAAUUCUGUAUUGUAUUAAAUGUUGUUUGUUUCCUAACAACAAUGGGAUCAAAGAAUUUGUUUGACUACAACAGUUGAAAUGA